UUCCAUAAUGCCACCUAAAAUAACAUGACCACUUGGGCCAAAAAAAAAAAAAAAUGGAGUUCCAUGAAAGCACAUUUGGCAGAUUCAUAUUUGGAUUUUGGAACACUUCGAACUGAGUAGAGCACCAUCUACUGUCAAGGUCGCUGUGAGCAAACGCAUGGCUCCAAGGCCAAAAUCAUCAAAUAACUUGCCGCAUAGAACCUUAGAACUUCGAUCCAAUUCACAAGGAGUCUCAAAGGUUAGCUACAUCUCUUAAGUCAAUAAUAAUACCAAGCAUAUCCGAUUUCGGGGAAAUAGCUCGCAGCAUCGAUGGGGGAUAAGAGCUGAAGAAAGCCAAUCAAAGGAUAAAAUCAAUUUUCGACUAGUAUAGGGGGCGAUACAAAAAAGGUGGAUUGGGCAAGAGAUGGAGAUGGUGUCAAAGAUCAACGGGAAAGGAGGUCUCUUCAAUGGGUGCUUCGGGUGACCGACAAAACUGACCAAAAUAAUUAUACAUAGUCAAAGAUGAGUCAACUGUUCAUUCCGAGUUACUGUUCAUUCGUGGGGAAAAAGACGAUUUUGCUCUCAUUUGACUUUUUUUACGGCUCUGCCACUGCCUCUUUUUUCUUCUCUCUUCCUCCCUUCUGCCUCCCAGACCGAGUUUUUUCCUCUCUCUCUUCCCCCCUCUGCCUCCUAAACCGAACAGCAGCAGCUGCGUGAGGUAAUGAAUUCCUUGCUACGUUUUGGUUGUUUUUGCUUCUCCACUUCGUUGUUUGGUUAGCUUGGUUUAAUAUAGCUUGAGAAAUUUGAUUUGGGUUUGUGAAAGAAUAAAGAUUGAUUCUUUUCUUAUGUAAAUUGAGGGAAUUGAUGGGAAUUUGAAGAAAUGGAUUUUAAAGUUUGCUAGAGCACAGAGCAGAUCUCAGCCAUCACUAUUCACUAAUUAGGUAGCUGUGAAAGGAUUUGCAUAAGAACUUCCAAGCAGGUUUGAGCUCCCAUCUCCUUUAAUCCGGGUUGGAAAGUGAUUGGAACAGCAAGUAGUGCUUAAAAGAAGAGACUUGCAGAAAGUAGAGUUUCACUCAUUUUUCUUUUUAUACUUUGCGAUUCACGGCUUGACUUUGUGUUCUCUUUAUUUGCUUAAUGAGAUUUAGAUAUAUUUUAAUGCCUGUAUUCAUGUAUUAAAGUAGUGCUAGCAGAGUCAUGUGGCAGUUACGAUUACUUUAUUCAUUUUAUUUCCUGUUAUUUUCAUGUUCCUAGACAUUUUUGUUUUUUAUUUUUUGACUUUUCUUUCUCCUUUGGCUUUUGUUUCUGAUUAGAUUCAGUUUGUCUUCAAGUUAGAUUUUAUGCGCAAGGGUAUCUGAUUGAUUGCAGAUAGAGGUUUUACUCUUCUUCUUUUUUGUGUUGGAAGGUGAGUUGUUUAUUUGAGAGGUUUGGAUGAUACCGGUAUUGCUUUGUGUUUUUUUUUUUUUGGAUUUGGAGCUUAUUGUGAAAUUGUCUGAUAGAUAGUCUAGCACACCCAUUUCGAUCAGCUUCUUACUUCUCAAUUUGAGAGAGAAACAUUGCGGGGUAGAGAGAGAGAGAGAGCUUAAAGGAAGAGACUUGCAGAAAGUAGAAGCUCACUCAUUCUCCUUUUUACACAUUGCGAUUCACGGCUUCACUUUUUCUUCUCUUUAUUUGUUUAAUGGGAUUUAGAUUUGUUUCCGAACUUAGGGAGAUAUAUUUUAAUGCCUGCAUCCAUGUAUUAAAGUAGUUGUAGCAGUUACGUGGCAGUUAGGACUACUUUAUAAUGGGAUUUAAUUUUAUGUCCUGUUCUUUUCAUAUUCCUAAACAUUUUUAUUUUUUAUUUUUUGACUUCUCUUUCUUCUUUGGCUUUUGUUUCUGAUUAGAUUCAGUUUGUCUUCAAGUUAGAUUUUAUGCACAAGGGUGUGCACGUUAUUCUCCUGCCGCUGUUCCUUUGCGUAUUGUUUGGGAUUAUUUCAGUAUUGUUUUCUUCUUCAGAUAGAGGUUUUUCUCUUCUUCUUUUCUGUGUUGGAAGUGUAGUGCCUGCCUGCCUUUGUCUUUCUCCGUCUGGAAGGUGAGUUGUUUAUUUGAGAGGUUUGGAUGAAAAUUCCUCAUAACAGUCUUAAUGUACUUAGAUUGCAGUGUUUAUUAUGAUUUGAAGUGAAUCUAAAAUUCCUCUUCGUGUUUUGGGUCCCUCCUUUGCUUUUACACUUUAAAGCCCUUGCUGCCUAAAUUCAACAACACAUAAAUAGUCUGCUUAUGUCUAUGGUCUCAAUACUCAAAGUAAAGGAAGAUACUGUUUGUUUCGGUAAAAGUCAAAUUUGGUAUUCAAAUCGAUGGUAUAUUUAUCAUGUUUAUUAUGAUCAUCAUUGUUGUACAUGUUUAUAAAAUGAUAAAUCCUUGGUUUAACAGACAACUUUGUUUGAUGCCACUGAUAUAGACGUAAUCCAGGAUUCACUUGGUUGGAAAUGAAAUUUGUUAAUAUGAUUGUGGAAAUAAAUCCAAAAAUGGUGAUUGAAAGGAAGUUUUGUAAUAUGGUAAUCUCCUUUCUUUUUCUUUCUUUUUUUGGAUUAUAAUAUGGUAGGAAAUCUGGGAUUGUUCUCUGUUAUUUAGGCAAUUUAGGGAUACUUUCUUCCAAGGUUUUGGGAUGAGUUGAGUUUUUGUUCUUCCAAGGUUUGAUUUGUGUCUUUGUUUUAUAAUUUCUUCUAAUUGAUUGCCAUUUAAAGUCUGUAUUUAGUUGUUAGUAUUUAAAACACUGUUGAUUUUUCUGGCCUAAGAAAUAUGGAAGAAAUGUAUAGAUUGUUUACAGAGGACUCAAUAUCUUGGUUCGAAAUGACAUGCUGCAUUGUCAGUUUAUCCUCAUAUGAAAGGUUCUAAAGUUUGAUUGAAAUCAGUAAGGUUCGAAAGUUUGAAGCUGUAGUAGAAAGGAGAAGAAGAGGGAUUGAAAUCGACGAACAGAUGAAUUAGCUAGAUUUUGACCGGAAACCGGAAACCUCACUGACUGUACACACAACUCCAUCCAUUCAAGACAAAACUCCAUCAACAGCUAUUUCAGGAGCAUACUUCAAUUCAAUUUGUGCAUUGUAAUACAAAAUUUUGGCCAAAAUGUACCUCACUUCAGAACAUAAUUUCAAUAAAAACAAUUCCUUUGGAAUUUUUCCCUG